CAUACUCAUAUGUCAUUUUUGGGAUGCAGUUUGAUUAAAGGAUUGAAUUGCAUGGUAACUUGCCACUGAAGGGUAUUUUUGGUAUUUCUACCAAAUUCCAUAUUUUUCGGAUAGACAUGACACGUUGCUAGACGUCAAUCUUGUUUUAUAGGUUUGAUCAAAUUAAAGAGUUAAUUCGAUCACCAAUUAGAAAGGAUUCUAAUUGUUAAGUUUGGGUUCGCGCAGUUUGGACUUAAAUCGAUUAGAAGAGUUCUAAUCAAGUUGGGUCAACUCGCACUCACACCUAUUGCUGGCUAAGUAUGGAACCCAAUGGGUCACACACAAGAAAACUUAUCAAGGGUCUAAUUGGAUUAGAUCAUGUUUGCAAGAUAAACAUCCUAGCAGGUGUUGCAAAUCUUAGCUCCU
rnacentral:lncRNA from 1 species